rnacentral:rRNA from 1 species
GAUGAACGCUGGCGGCGUGCCUAAUACAUGCAAGUCGAGCGAACAGAUGAGGAGCUUGCUCCUCUGACGUUAGCGGCGGACGGGUGAGUAGCACGUGGAUAACCUACCUAUAAGACUGGGAUAACUUCGGGAAACCGGAGCUAAUACCGGAUAAUAUAUUGAACCGCAUGGUUCAAUAGUGAAAGGCGGUUUUGCUGUCACUUAUAGAUGGAUCCGCGCCGCAUUAGCUAGUUGGUAAGGUAACGGCUUACCAAGGCAACGAUGCGUAGCCGACCUGAGAGGGUGAUCGGCCACACUGGAACUGAGACACGGUCCAGACUCCUACGGGAGGCAGCAGUAGGGAAUCUUCCGCAAUGGGCGAAAGCCUGACGGAGCAACGCCGCGUGAGUGAUGAAGGUCUUCGGAUCGUAAAACUCUGUUAUUAGGGAAGAACAAAUGUGUAAGUAACUAUGCACGUCUUGACGGUACCUAAUCAGAAAGCCACGGCUAACUACGUG